CUGCUUUUCAAGGGAAGAGGACAUCUAAACAGAGGAUAGGCCUCAAUAAAGACAACUACAGAGAUACACACAUCCUCACAAAAAUACUCUCUCACAAACUCUCUUUCCUCGUUCUCUCACUCUCUUUUUUGUGUUAGUUUUUUGAUCAUUUUCUUCUUAUCCAAAAGCUGAUAUUUAGUCAUUUUCUAUGAAGCCACGUCUUUUCGUCAAGAGUCACAAGACUUAUCACACGCUCUAUAGACCUGUAUAAAGAAACAGAAGAAAAGAUGUUUUAAGAACCAGACAAGAUGUUUUGGAGCCCACAUAUAGGUCGGUGUAAAUACCACUAUACAUUUGGAAAGAAGACUAAUCCUAUAUCCAGUCUGUUUUCCUGGGACUGAUGAACUGUCUGCUACAGCCCAGUAGUCAAAUCCUUGAAAUAGCACCUUGUCUGGUCAUUACUAUUUCUAUGUAAAGUGAUGUUCUUCUCUUGCAUUCAUCCUUUACUUUUGAUACAAUCGGAUAUCCACUGUCCAUGAACAUGUUCUGGGAUCCUUUAUGCUGUUUAGGGAAGGCCACGCCAUCAUAGCACAACACAGGCUACAGGACGUCAGAAAUUAAUUGUUUUGUGGACCUGAAGAAGGCACAUGCUGGUGCCAAAACGCGUUGUCUUA